UACAGAGGAGCCAAGCGUUGUCCGGAUUGACUGGGCGUAAAGCGCACGCAGGCGGACGCGCGCGUGGGGUGUGAAAUCUGGCCGCUUAACGGCCAGGCGCCAUCCCAUACGGCGCGUCUGGAGUGAUGCAGAGGUCGAUGGAAUUGCCGGUGUAGUGGUGAAAUGCGUAGAUAUCUGGAGGAACACCGGUGGCGAAGGCGGCAUCCUGGACCAAUAUUGACGCUGAGGAGCGAAAGCCAGGGGAGCAAACGGG
rnacentral:rRNA from 1 species